rnacentral:tRNA from 1 species
GCCAUUUUAGCUCAGUUGGUAGAGCAAUUCAUUCGUAAUGAAUAGGUCCGGGGUUCGAGUCCCCGAAAUGGCU